AGCAGUAGCCGCGGGAAUACGAAGGGUGCAAGCGUUAAUCGGAAUUACUGGGCGUAAAGCGUGCGCAGGCGGUUGUGUAAGACAGGUGUGAAAUCCCCGGGCUUAACCUGGGAACUGCGCUUGUGACUGCACAGCUAGAGUAUGGCAGAGGGGGGUGGAAUUCCACGUGUAGCAGUGAAAUGCGUAGAGAUGUGGAGGAACACCGAUGGCGAAGGCAGCCCCCUGGGCCAAUACUGACGCUCAUGCACGAAAGCGUGGGGAGCAAACAGGAUUAGAUACCCGAGUAGUCCCUGUCUCUUAUAC
rnacentral:rRNA from 1 species